rnacentral:tRNA from 1 species
AUUCGAAAUCGGUAGACGCUACGGACUUAAUUGGAUUGAGCCUUGGUAUGAUCCGUCGAUUACAUAAAACAUGAGGG